rnacentral:rRNA from 1 species
UACGAAGGGUGCAAGCGUUACUCGGAAUUACUGGGCGUAAAGGGUGCGUAGGUGGUUUGUUAAGUCUGCUGUGAAAUCCCCGGGCUCAACCUGGGAAUGGCAGUGGAUACUGGCAAGCUAGAGUGCGGUAGAGGGUAGUGGAAUUCCCGGUGUAGCAGUGAAAUGCGUAGAGAUCGGGAGGAACACCUGUGGCGAAAAGCGGCUCACUGGACCAUAACUGACGCUGAUGCACGAAAAGCUGGGGGAGCAAACAAGG